rnacentral:rRNA from 1 species
GACGUAGGGGGCCAGCGUUGUUCGGAAUUACUGGGUGUAAAGGGUUCGUAGGCGGUGUAGUAAGUCGGGGGUGAAAUCUCUGGGCUUAACCCAGAGGCUGCUUCCGAAACUGCUGUGCUUGAGUGUGGGAGAGGCGCGUGGAAUUGCAGGUGUAGCGGUGAAAUGCGUAGAUAUCUGCAGGAACACCCGUGGCGAAAGCGGCGCGCUGGGCCACUACUGACGCUGAGGAACGAAAGCUAGGGGAGCAAACAGG